CCCCGCCCCUCCCCCGGCGGUUGUGAAAGUGAGCCCAGACCCGGGGCAGUGAAGGGAACUCAGGUGAGAACCUCGGAUUGCGAGGAGGCUUCUGGUUUAGAUAACUGGGUAGAUGGUGGCACCUGUAGUCGCUUAACGGCUGGCUUCGUCUUUGUAUUGAAGGCAAUCAAAAGCAGGGCCCAGCUGCCUUGCUGACCCCGGGCCUCCUAGCACAGGGCAAGGCACGGGAGGAGCCCAAUAGAUAUUUACUGCAGGAACCGUCGCUAGAGGUGAGGAUAACGUGUGUUGGAAGCAGGGACAAGGGAGUGUUCACUUUUGGACAUGCUAGUGAGGUGAUGAGCCAUUAGUAGUCACCUAGGCAGAGGGGGAUGAUGUCCGGCAGACAAGGGUGUGGCACAUGAGCAAUGGGCCUGGGCAAGAUGGUCCAAGGUGCGGCAGGUGUGCGUGGACAGGGACAGGUGAGGGGGAGCUGGAGCCCAGACAGGUGGAGGGACGGCAGAGCCUGGUGUCAUAGAAACAACAGGAGGCUAUCCCAGGAGGAAGUGUCCACUUGAUGGGAGAAUGGGGCCUUCAGUGACUCAGGAGACACCUGGGGAGGGGGAUUUUGGGGACAGUUGCUAGCUGGGAGGAGUGAUGCAGGUAGCAGGGCCCAAAAUAAUAAAGGCAACAGGGGCCAAGAAAUCUCAGGGGAUAGCAGGAGGGAUGACAAACGGGGCGGGGGUUGCGUGUGGAGAGGUGUCCAUUUCACAGUUGCUAAUGGGAAGGUGCUGCAGCAUGGAGGACAGACAUGAAGGAGGGGAGCCAAGGGUGCCAGGCAGAGAAGAGGGGAUGGGUUGGGACCCAGGCAGCCCUGGGACUGUUCUUAGGGUGGGUCCCUCCAUCAGCUGUUUUCUUGCCUAGUUGUGGCAGGCUGACAGCAUUACUGCCUAAAAUGAUUCUCUGUGAGGUAGGAGGGGAGGGGGAAAAGGCUUCAGCCAGCACUUAAGACACAGGGAGACCCCACACUACAGCCAGGUGCUAUUAGGUCCCAUUGGAGUGGCUUCCUCCUACAGGUGCAGGCUGGGAGAAGGCAGAGAACUUUUGGAUUUUGAAAAGUGGCCAUGGACAAGGGGACAAGGCAGUUCAAAUAUGCACAUCACUCAGCUGCUACUCUCAUCACAUUUAAUCCUCACAACACCCCUGUGAGAGGAAUGAAGAAUGGAAAUAAAGACAGGAAAAGAAAUGACCCAGAAAUUCAGUGCAAAGAGAGAUGUUCAUACAGACACUAUCUGUUGGGGACACAGACAAAUCAUCACAGGAGAAGGGACAGAUUUCUAAAAUGAGCUGAGAAUAUGAGGAGGGAGCCUGUGACCAAGACAUCAAGGCCCUGGCCAGCAAAAGUCAGGGCCCCUGCUCCUGGUAGUCACACACAGUCCAACAAUGCAGGGAUGGUGGUGGGCUCAGAGCUGCUGGCUCCCCCUGGACAGCAAAUCAGACAGAUGCAGGGAGGGGGAAGCUGUGCCAGGAUACCUGGGUCACACAUGUUCUCAACUGUGAAAGCUGUCGCCUACUGGAGUGAGGCUCAGUGGGGCUGAGAAGAUCAGGAUGUACGCUUAAGCUUUCCAGGGAAAGUAGGACAGACAUAGGAGGAGACAGAGAAAUAGGUGUCACGCAGUGUGGUAUGAUUGCUUUGAGGCUAAACUUUCCAAAGAGAAGGAUCUGAGUUUUUGUUGUGAUUUAGACAUCUUGAUGGCUCCCAGUGGGCUUCCCUGGAGAAAGAAACUUACCGCCCCAAGUUCUCUCUGAUCCCCAUGCGAUGGCUACCAGGAGGUCUACAGGGAUCCAUCUCCAGUGUCCCCUCCCCUCGCUAGUGCAACAGCAGCCCUCCCUCAGCAAACAUUCACUGCAGCAAGUGCUCUGACACACUCACAGGUUCAAAAAGCCUAAGUUCAUGUCCUCCUCCUCCUCACUGUGGGUGGAUAGGUUUUUCCUCUUCACCUGCUGUUGGGGAACACUGCUCUCCGGGGGGCUCGGGGAACGACACUGUAAACAUGACUUCCUGGCGUGAUGGUGGCAAGGCUGUGUGUUCAAGUUGCUGCCGGGGGACAGCACUGAGGUAGAUCGGGGAGGGUCCCCCAAGACAUCCAUGGAGUUUGUGGGACUUGCGCUGCUGACAGAGGAGUACCCUGAGGUUGUGAUGUCCUUGCCUGGCCCCCUCCUGCUGCUGAGAGGGGGCUCAAGCCCUGGGGUCUGAGGUGUCUGGGUGCCUGGUGCCAACAUGUGCAGGUCCUGGCACCCCUCCUCCUCUGGGCAGGCCUCCUCAUCGCUUGAUUCCUGGCAGCAGUGCUGUUCUGGGUUCAGGUAGACCACGGUGACAUCGAGGACACCGCUGGGAGCCGUUACUGUGGGAGGCGUUGGGGGAGAGGUCGUCAGGUCAGAGCCUGAGCAUCAGGGUGGACCCCCCUGCCGCCCCGGUCAGGAUCCAGGGCAGCCCAGGGUCCAACUCAUGGUCACAUAUCUUGAACUUCGCUGGACAGUCCCCUUUCUUUUGGGUAAGAAAUUGAGGGGGAAGGGCCUCCUUCAUGCUUGGGGUAUCACCCCAUGUGACUUGGGGGACAGGAGGAAGUGACAACUGGCCAUCUAAUCAUUUACUUAAUCCCAAGUGGACACAAAAGGAAUUGGAAAAUCAACAGAAACUGCUUGAACUGGGCUUCCUGUGCAGAUGGCUGACUAAGAACAUGGGGAUAGAGCCUCCCGCAGCUGCCCUGGAGGGUACACGAGGCACAGAGCCCAACAGGGUAGUGGCAAAGCACAUCUUGUACAAUGUUCUACAAAGAUCUUAUGAACUCCAGUCAGGAUCUCUUCCUCUUCCCUGCCCUGGUGAGGUCCUUCCAUCAACACAGCUCCAGUGAGAGAUGGAGAGAGGUUGGGCCUACGUCCCCUCCUCCCUAAGGGUGGUGUUCUAGGGGCUCUGCCUGGACAUAUUCUCCUGCAGGUAAGGCAGGGGGGAGGGGGCCCCUCUGCACAAGCUGUCCCCUGUCACGACCCCUGGUGGCUCUCCAUCCCCAGCACUCACCAUCGCCUUCCUUCUCGCCCUCACUCUCCUGGUCGCCCUCGUAGCCAGAGCAGUAGUCCAGGCUCCAGUCCAGGAAACUGCCCAGCAGCGUCUCCUCCUGGCUCGACAGCUCUGCAGUAGGAGUGGUGACAAAGCUGCCCCUGUCCUCCUGGAGGCUGUUCUCCCGUUUCCUGUAGGGGGGGAGAGCCAGGAACCUGUCAUAGGCAGCCGUGUUGGGAGGCCCAGUCUGACUCCUGGCACCUGCCCACCCUGCCCCCACGUGUUGUGAGCAAGGGUGUCAUGGCCCUCAGAAGCUCAUGGCACAGAUUGGCAGAGGCAGGUCCAGGAGUACAGUGAGGGUCCUGCUCAUCUGGACUUUGUAGGAUCAAUAGGAGUUCUUCAGGUGGGGCGGGGACGUUAUUCCAGGCAGUAGAUCCAGGACAAUGAGAGGACAGACAGGUUAAAUGGGAUACAUACGGGAGACGAGGGGAACAAGAAAGUACUGAGGACCUUAGUCAGGGUACCGCUGGAGUGACGGCAGCACGGUGGGCAGAAGGGCCCAGGGCGGCUCGUGCCUGGCAUGCGGCAGGGCCAGAGCCUGAGUGGGCCCAGUCUGGGCUCAAGACUGUCUUCCCUCAAAGGGAAUCAGGUUAAGGCAGGAGAGCCAGGCUGGAGAAGGCAGAUGGGAUUGCAGACAGGGGAUUAGGUCCACGGGCCUGAGGUCAACCCUGGCUUCAGUUUUCUCAGCAUCUGCUCUUCUCCAUGCUUUGCUUAAGGAGCCCCGUGUAAAGGGAGCCCCUCAGAUGGCUGCGGGGUCACCAGGGAACCCAGGCCCAGCACAGAGGAGCUAACGCUGCAUCUCGCCAUUAUGGACCUGGGGCUUACUAACCGCUUGGUUCUCCUUCCGGAGGGAGAGCUGAGGAAAGCGUGAAUUUCCCCCGCGCUGAGGAAAGAUGCAGGUUCCGGGCUCUCCUGUUUCACUCCAAGAGCUGCACACAACUGGCCGUAGCUCAGCACCUGAGAGGAAGCUGUGGUCAGAGGGAGGGAAGAGGCCCCGAGGGGCAGGCUGGCACCACUGCCCCCCGCCCCAGCACCCCAUCAGCAGCCUGAGUGGCACCUCUUCCUGACUGAUCUCUCCGUAGCGCCUGUCCUCGAAUCGCUGCUUCACGGCAGUAAGAGAGACUUGCCUGUAGUCCUUGGGGACAUCAUCGUGGAAGCUGCCAACAGAGGGACAUGUGAGUGGCAGUGGGUGGCAGGCAGCACCAGCAUGUCCACUCCAAGAGGCUCAUUUUUUGCUUCCACUCACUGAAGUGAAAGAGGACAAGACAUUUUGAAAAACAGCCCAGCACUGGGAGUAAAAUCCAGCAUUGCUGUGGUCGAUGGUCUGUCAGUUCCUCAGUUAAACGCAGUCACCAUGACCCAGCACUCCCACUCCCAGGUGCAACCCCUAGAGAAAUGUGAAUGGAAGUCCACACAGAAACCAGACAGAAAUGUUCACUGCAGCAUCAUUCCCAACAGCCAGAAGGUGGAAAAAAACCCACACGUCCAUCAAUGCAGGAACAAAUAAACAAAAUGCGGUCCCUCCAUCCAGUGGAUAUUUAGUGCAGAUGAGAACAUUAUGUAGGUAAAAGAGGCCAGUCACAAAAGGCCACGUAUUGCAUGAUUCCAUUUCUACGAAAUGUCCAGAACAGGCAAGCCACAGAGCUAGGAAGUAGUAAGUGUUUGCUGGGGUGGUUGGAGGGGAAAUAGGGAGGUGAUAGGUAAGGAGUGCGGGGUUUGUUUUGAGAGUGGAGGGAAGUGUUCUAAAACUGAUGGUGGUGAUGGCUGCGCAACUCUAUAUACUAAGAGCCUGUUGAAUUGUACACUUAAAAGUUUUUGUUUAUAAAUAAAUACUUGUUUCCAAUUUA